rnacentral:rRNA from 1 species
AUUGAACGCUGGCGGCAGGCCUAACACAUGCAAGUCGGACGGUAGCACAGAGGAGCUUGCUCCUCGGGUGACGAGUGGCGGACGGGUGAGUAAUGUCUGGGGAUCUGCCAGAUAGAGGGGGAUAAACACUGGAAACGGUGGCUAAUACCGCAUAACGUCGCCAGACCAAAGAGGGGGACCUUCGGGCCUCUCACUAUCGGAUGAACCCAGAUGGGAUUAGCUAGUAGGCGGGGUAAUGGGCCACCUAGGCGACGAACCCUAGCUGGUCUGAGAGGAUGACCAGCCACACUGGAACUGAGACACGGUCCAGACUCCUACGGGAGGCAGCAGUGGGGAAUAUUGCACAAUGGGCGCAAGCCUGAUGCAGCCAUGCCGCGUGUAUGAAGAAGGCCUUCGGGUUGUAAAGUACUUUCAGCGGGGAGGAAGGCGAUAAGGUUAAUAACCUUGUCGAUUGACGUUACCCGCAGAAGAAGCACCGGCUAACUCCGUGCCAGCAGCCGCCGUAA